rnacentral:tRNA from 1 species
AUUUAUAUAGUAUAAUAAUUAUAAUUGAUUUCCAAUCAAAAGAUCUAAAUUUUAGUAUAAAUA